CGGCCGCGUCGACGCAGAAGAUUGGAAUUCUCUGUAGAAAUGUUAAAAUCGUUAAGAGGUUGAAGAAAAACAAUUCUCGAGACAAGGCAUGAUAUGGUUAGAAAGUUCAUUUUUUGACUUUUUGAUUUAACCUGCGUCCAACUUCCAAAGAAAAGCUCGCAACUACUUUACAAUAAGAAGAACCUGUACCCUAAACCGACACAGGUAGGUAGGUAGAGAAUACUAAGGGACGCGAGAUAACUCUCUCUAAGGAACUCGGCAAAAUGGCCCCGUAACUUCGGGAGAAGGGGUGGCUAACCUCGAUCUUAUUUUUGAUUUGAUUGAGGAGCUCGCAGUGACCAGGCCCAGGCGACUGUUUAUCAAAAACACAGGUCUCCGCAAAGUUGCAAAACGACGUAUGGGGGCUGACGCCUGCCCAGUGCCGGAAGGUAAACGAAGUUGGUUAUCCCUCGUUAAAGAGAAGAGAAGCUGACGACUGAAGCCCCGGUAAAGGCGGCUGUAACUCUGACAGGUCCUAAGGUAGCGAAAUUCCUUGCCAAGUAAGUUUUGGCCCGNACGUCGACGCGUAACGAUCUGGGGAGCUGUCUACGGG
rnacentral:rRNA from 1 species